AUUGAACGCUGGCGGCAGGCCUAACACAUGCAAGUCGAACGAGUGGCGGACGGGUGAGUAAUGUCUGGGAAACUGCCCGAUGGAGGGGGAUAACUACUGGAAACGGUAGCUAAUACCGCAUACCAUCGGAUGUGCCCAGAUGGGAUUCGCUAGUAGGUGGGGUAACGGCUCACCUAGGCGACGAUCCCUAGCUGGUCUGAGAGGAUGACCAGCCACACGGGAACUGAGACACGGUCCAGACUCCUACGGGAGGCAGCAGUGGGGAAGAUUGCACAAUGGGCGCAAGCCUGAUGCAGCCAUGCCGCGUGUAUGAAGAAGGCCUUCGGGUUGUAAAGUACUUUCAGCGAGGAGGCGUUACUCGCAGAAGAAGCACCGGCUAACUCCGUGCCAGCAGCCGCGGUAAUUC
rnacentral:rRNA from 1 species